CCUCUCUCUCCUCUCUCUAGCUCUUGUGUAUUGUGAUGAGUUUGCCAAGUUGGGAAGAUUGUAAUAGAGACAAUAACAGAAGUACUAAAAUUUAAGAGGUUGCAAAAAGACAAGUCCAACAUAUUCCACACACUUAGAGAAUGUGGUGUCUCUCUUUGACUCCUCUCCCUAAAUCACUCUCUAUUUAUGUAUGCCUCUUUUCAAUCCACACACGUACAUCUCUC
rnacentral:lncRNA from 1 species